rnacentral:rRNA from 1 species
CUUACAUCGUCUUCGGAGCAUUUUACGAGGUGCUGCAUGGUUGUCGUCAGCUCGUGCCGUGGAGGUGUCGGGUUAAGUCCCAUAACGAGCGCAACCCCUACCUUUAGUUGCCAUCAGGUUAAGCUGGGACUCUAAAGGAACUGCCUACGCAAGUAGUGAGGAAGGCGGGGAUGACGUCAAAUCAGCACGGCCCUUACGUCCAGGGCUACACACGUGCUACAAUGGCCGAUACAGAGGGCAGCUACCUGGUGACAGGAUGCAAAUCUCCAAAGUCGGUCUCAGUUCGGAUCGGAGUCUGCAACCCGACUCCGUGAAGUUGGAUUCGCUAGUAAUCGCGCAUCAGCCAUGGCGCGGUGAAUACGUUCCCGGGCCUU